rnacentral:lncRNA from 1 species
ACAUCAGAAGGGACAAACUCCAGACGCGCCACCUUAAGAGCUGUAACACUCACCGCGAGGGUCCGCGGCUUCAUUCUUGAAGUCAGUGAGACCAAGAACCCACCAAUUCCGGACACACUGCUAUGGGUGCUAAGGCUAAUCGGUAUGAGCUUUGACAACCUUUCCUGCCAUGCACCUGGUGAGAAGCUUCAGUCAAUUCUUAAAAAGAAACCAAGUCACGUGGAUCUAAGACAUAGAAAGAGUGAGCCCUGACAAGAACGCUUAGACUUGGAAUUCUCGGGAGAAAAAUGCCCAGGACUUCAUGACUUAGGCCAGGAUGAAAAAUCACUUUGGAGUCACAGAGAGUAGCCUGAUUUAGAAAGGUAGAGAUAUGGAACCAUGGAAUUACUUGGGAACCUUCCUGAAAAGGAUAUAGCACCUUGACUAAAUCACUGAGGAUUGCGUCCCUGAGAAAGGUGAGCAAAAGGUAAAUGUGAGAGAUGGGGGUAAAGGCAGCAAGA